rnacentral:lncRNA from 1 species
AUUUCACAGUGGGCUCAUUAGCAUUUCCUCACACACAGGCAGUGACCACCAUUGUGGGGUAUCACCCUUGGAUAAAGCACAGCUGAAAUAUCAGAUGCUCAGAGGCCACAUUUCCCCCUGGCCUGGUAAAUCAUUCAGCCCAUUCACUUGGACAAAGUACUUAAUCCAGAGUGAGACCAUGCAAGCAAGGACAAUUAUAAUUCUUCCCUGAAAUGAAUACAGCAUAAGGAAGUUGGAAGAGAGUAACUCUCUUUACUGUUGGGUUGCCAAGCCUGGAAGAUGUCAAGUUGGUGCUGCUGGCUGCUAUUUUUCCUGCCAUCUGAGAGAAGGCAUGUCUUCAGUUAAAAAGAAUAAAGCUGAACAGAGAUGAGAGAUAGAGAGCUGAAGGACUAAGGUAUUGGUUCCUAGAACCCUCCAUUCUGUUCUGUGAAUUAUUUCUGUAUCUUUUCUUCCACUAUGGAGCAAUAAAAUUAA